UACGAAGGGUGCAAGCGUUAAUCGGAAUUACUGGGCGUAAAGCGUGCGUAGAUGGUCUGAUUAAGUCGGAUAGUCGAAAGCCCCGGGCUCGAACCUGGGAAUGGCAUCCGAUACUGGUUGGCUAGAGUGCGGUAGAGGGAGAGCGGAAUUCCCGGUGUAGCGGUGAAAUGCGUAGAGAUCGGGAGGAACAUCCCGUGGCGAAGGCGGCUCUCCUGGGACCAGCACUGACGUUGAGGCACGAG
rnacentral:rRNA from 1 species